GACGAACCGAGCGAACGUUAUUCGGAAUCACUGGGCUUAAAGGGCGCGUAGGCGGGCGAUCAAGUCAGGGGUGAAAGCCCCCAGCUCAACUGGGGAAGUGCCUUUGAUACUGGUCGUCUCGAGGGGGAUAGGGGCGUGCGGAACUUCCGGUGGAGCGGUGAAAUGCGUAAAUAUCGGAAGGAACACCGGUGGCGAAGGCGGCACUCUGGGCCGGUACUGACGCUGAGGAGCGAAAGCGUGGGGAGCGAACAGG
rnacentral:rRNA from 1 species